rnacentral:rRNA from 1 species
AUUGAACGCUGGCGGCAUGCCUAAACAUGCAAGUCGAACGGUAACGACGGAAGCUUGCUUCCGGGCGACGAGUGGCGGACGGGUGAGUAAUACUUAGGAAUCUGCCUAGUAGUGGGGGACAACCAGGAGAAAUCCUGGCUAAUACCGCAUACGCACUACGGUGGGAAGUGGGGGACCUUCGGGCCUCACGCUAUUGGAUGAGCCUAAGUCGGAUUAGCUUGUUGGUGAGGUAAAGGCUCACCAAGGCGACGAUCCGUAGCUGGUCUGAGAGGACUAUCAGCCACACUGGGACUGAGACGCGGCCCAGACUCCUACGGGAGGCAGCGGUGGGGAAUAUUGGACAAUGGGCGCAAGCCUGAUCCAGCAAUGCCGCGUGUGUGAAGAAGGCCUGCGGGUUGUAAAGCACUUUCAGUAGAGAAGAAAAGCCUAGGGUUAAUACCCCUGAGUCUUGACGUAACCUACAGAAGAAGCACCGGCUAACUCCGUGCCAGCAGCCGCGGUAAUACGGAGGGUGCGAGCGUUAAUCGGAAUUACUGGGCGUAAAGCGCGCGUAGGCGGUUUUGUAAGUCGAAUGUGAAAGCCCCGGGCUUAACCUGGGAAUUGCGUUCGAUACUGCGAAACUAGAGUACGGUAGAGGGAAGUGGAAUUCCGGGUGUAGCGGUGNAAUGCGUAGAUAUCCGGAGGAACACCAGUGGCGAAAGCGACUUCCUGGGCCAGACUGACGCUGA